AGUCGAACGGACUUACAUUGAAGCCUAGCGAUAUGUAAGUUAGUGGCGGACGGGUGAGUAACGCGUGGGUAACCUGCCUUGUACUGGGGGACAACAGUUGGAAACGACUGCUAAUACCGCAUAAGCGCACAGCUUCGCAUGAAGCAGUGUGAAAAACUCCGGUGGUACAAGAUGGACCCGCGUCUGAUUAGCUGGUUGGUGAGGUAACGGCCCACCAAGGCGACGAUCAGUAGCCGGCCUGAGAGGGUGAACGGCCACAUUGGGACUGAGACACGGCCCAAACUCCUACGGGAGGCAGCAGUGGGGAAUAUUGCACAAUGGGGGAAACCCUGAUGCAGCAACGCCGCGUGAGUGAAGAAGUAUUUCGGUAUGUAAAGCUCUAUCAGCAGGAAAGAAAAUGACGGUACCUGACUAAGAAGCCCCGGCUAACUACGUGCCAGCAGCCGCGGUAAUACGUAGGGGGCAAGCGUUAUCCGGAUUUACUGGGUGUAAAGGGAGCGUAGACGGUUUUGCAAGUCUGAAGUGAAAGCCCGGGGCUUAACCCCGGGACUGCUUUGGAAACUGUAGAACUAGAGUGCAGGAGAGGUAAGUGGAAUUCCUAGUGUAGCGGUGAAAUGCGUAGAUAUUAGGAGGAACACCAGUGGCGAAGGCGGCUUACUGGACUGUAACUGACGUUGAGGCUCGAAAGCGUGGGGAGCAAACAGGAUUAGAUACCCUGGUAGUCCACGCCGUAAACGAUGAUUACUAGGUGUUGGUGGGUACGACCCAUCGGUGCCGCAGCAA
rnacentral:rRNA from 1 species